GUGAGAUCUCGUGGGAGGGCACCCAUUAGGCCGCGUGUGACCAUGUAAGAUUUUGCUGUUCCAAGUGUGGUCCUCGGCUCAGGAGCAUUGAUAACCACCCAGAGCUUGUGAGAAAUACAGAACGGCAGCCCCAUCUGCUGAACUACAGACUCGAGGAAUUGCAGUAAGCAUUUCAACAAAAUCCCCAGGUACUUUCUCAUCACUGGGACAAAAUACCCAGCACCCACAACUUAAUGGAGGAAAGGUUUAUUUUGGCUCAUGGUUCAGUCCACUGUUGGCUGGCUCCAAGGCAGGAGCAGGAUGGCAGAAGGGCCUGGCAGAGGAAAAGCUGCCCAACUCAUGGCAGCCAAGAAGCUGAGAGAGAAGGGCAGAGCCAAGGAUAAGAACACAGCCUUCCAGGCCACUCUUCCCGUGAUGAGUCUCCAACCAGGCCCUACCUCCCACCAGCAAAUCCAGCUUCUGAACUCAAUGGAUGAAUCCACUGUGUUGAAGGGAAACUUUUCAGAUUAGAGCAAAGCAGAAGAUAAUUGUUUGGGGGCCAACUGCAUGUUAUCCUUGUGGAGAUGAGAGCAUGGUCAGAUUUGGGGCACCUGCCUGCACCACCCCCGUGGAGACUGGAUACACACCCUCAUUCUCUCUUUUCCUGUCUUUAUGAGUAGCCCCUCUGCAAGAUAACUGCCUAGACUUGCAAGACUGCCUUGGCCUUAAAACCAAUUAUUUUCUUUAUAUUUAGCCAAAUGAUUCAUAGAAGCUCCAAAUUGUGGAAACUUGGGGUUUUUUAAGGUUGAUGAGAUCACCUAACAAUCCAGACCCUUCUCUUUCUAGUUGAGGAGGUCACACCCCAGAGAUGAAGUACCUUGCUCAAGGUCACCAGCCUGUUUGAAACAGAGCCUGCUGCAUUAUAACCAUGUCCUUCAGAAUUCAAGGUUAACAACAAGUGACCAUGUAGAUCUAAGACUGAGCACAUUUCUGGUUCUCAUUUCCUUUGUCUUGGUUUAUAACUUCUCUUUAUAGCUUUAUUAUUAUUCCAGUAUUGAUGAGGAAUCCCAACCAGUUAUGGUGGGAAGCAACUAUUGUUACCAUAAAGGACAGAACAGCUCUCCUAACUCCUGAUCCAGACCUCUUUCCUGUGUCAAAAGGGCUGCAGGCUCAUUAUCCUUUCCCUGUCACUGACAAUACCUGCUGGGUCUGUGGAACCCUGAACUCACAGUGUAAGCAGCACACUGCAGAUACUCAUACACUUUCUAAAUGCAAAUUCCUUGAAAAUGAUUUUUUAAUGUUUUUCAGGUAAAAUAGAGGAAGUGUGUGCAUCUACUUAAUAACUUUUUAAUUAUUAUGAACAAAAUUAUCAGCAAUGAGAAUAGAAAUCUUUGUUAGAAACCAUUAUAAUGUGAAAUCUGGAAAAUUGUAAAAUAAGUG
ensembl:lncRNA